GUCUACGGGCAUGCCACCCUGAACAAGCCCGAUCCCAUCUGAUCUCGGAAGCUAAGCAGAGUCGGGCCUAGUUAGUACUUGGAUGGGAGACCACCUAGGAAGACCAGGUGCUGUAGGCA
rnacentral:rRNA from 1 species